UACAGAGGGUGCGAGCGUUAAUCGGAUUUACUGGGCGUAAAGCGUACGUAGGCGGCUUUUUAAGUCGGAUGUGAAAUCCCUGAGCUUAACUUAGGAAUUGCAUUCGAUACUGGUUGGCUAGAGUAUGGGAGAGGAUGGUAGAAUUCCAGGUGUAGCGGUGAAAUGCGUAGAGAUCUGGAGGAAUACCGAUGGCGAAGGCAGCCAUCUGGCCUAAUACUGACGCUGAGGUACGGAAAGCAUGGGGAGCAAACAGG
rnacentral:rRNA from 1 species